CCUACGGGGGGCAGCAGUGAGGAAUAUUGGUCAAUGGACGAGAGUCUGAACCAGCCAAGUAGCGUGAAGGAUGACUGCCCUAUGGGUUGUAAACUUCUUUUAUAAAGGAAUAAAACGAGGCACGUGUGCCUGUUUGCAUUUACUUUAUGAAUAAGGAUCGGCUAACUCCGUGCCAUCAGCCGCGGUAAUACGGAGGAUCCGAGCGUUAUCCGGAUUUAUUGGGUUUAAAGUGAGCGUAGAUGGGUUGUUAAGUCAGUUGUGAAAGUUUGCGGCUCAACCGUAAAAGUGCAAUUGAUACUGGCAGUCUUGAGUACAGUUGAGGUAGGCGGAAUUCGUGGUGUAGCGGUGAAAUGCUUAGAUAUCACGAAGAACCCCGAUUGCGAAGGCAGCCUGCUGGACGACAACUGACGGUGAGGCGCGAAAGCGUGGGGAGCAAACAGGAUUAGAUACCCCAGUAGUC
rnacentral:rRNA from 1 species